rnacentral:rRNA from 1 species
AUUGAACGCUGGCGGGAUGCUUUACACAUGCAAGUCGAACGGCAGCACGGGAGCUUGCUCCUGGUGGCGAGUGGCGAACGGGUGGGUAAUAUAUCGGAACGUAUCCAAUAAUGGGGGAUAACCAAUCGAAAGGUUGGCUAAUACCGCAUACGCCCUACGGGGGAAAGCAGGGGAUCUUCGGACCUUGCGUUGAUGGAGCGGCCGAUAUCGGAUUAGCUAGUUGGUGGGGUAAAGGCCUACCAAGGCGACGAUCCGUAGCUGGUCUGAGAGGACGACCAGCCACACUGGAACUGAGACACGGUCCAGACUCCUACGGGAGGCAGCAGUGGGGAAUUUUGGACAAUGGGGGCAACCCUGAUCCAGCCAUUCCGCGUGAGUGAAGAAGGCCUUCGGGUUGUAAAGCUCUUUCGCAAGGGAAGAAACGAUACUGGUGAAUAUCCAGUGUUAAUGACGGUACCUUGAUAAGAAGCACCGGCUAACUACGUGCCAGCCGCCGCGGUAACAC